rnacentral:rRNA from 1 species
AACGAACGCUGCGGCAGGCCUAACACAUGCAAGUCGAGCGAAGCCUUCGGGCUUAGCGGCGGACGGGUGAGUAACGCGUGGGAACGUGCCCUUUGGUACGGAAUAGCCCCGGGAAACUGGGAGUAAUACCGUAUGUGGUCGAGAGACGAAAGAUUUAUCGCCAAAGGAUCGGCCCGCGUUGGAUUAGGUAGUUGGUGGGGUAAUGGCCUACCAAGCCGACGAUCCAUAGCUGGUUUGAGAGGAUGAUCAGCCACACUGGGACUGGGACACGGCCCAGACUCCUACGGGAGGCAGCAGUGGGGAAUCUUAGACAAUGGGGGAAACCCUGAUCUAGCCAUGCCGCGUGAUCGAUGAAGGCCUUAGGGUUGUAAAGAUCUUUCAGUGGGGAAGAUAAUGACUGUACCCACAGAAGAAGCCCCGGCUAACUCCGUGCCAGCCGCCGCCGUAAUAC